GCGCUGAAGUUUUCUGCUCCUGUCCUGUACUGGUUUGCACUAACCCAACUGUGAGAUUUCUUUGUUGCAAUGUUGGGGUCUGAGAUAACACUGCUGAAGGCUGCAGGCGAGAAACAUAGCUGAGACAAUCCUUGCUUGUAUGUUGUUAUUUACUAGCGCUGUGAACCAAGGAAGUGAAGUAACAAAGAGCCUGAAGACUGCACAGCUCCAGCUUGUAGGCCAUGGAGCAGGGCUAGAGCCCUCAGACCGACAGAAAGAAGACAUCUGAGGCGAGACCACGAGAUGCCUGUGGCUGCUGAGUACAGGAUAUGAAUCAGAGAAAAAGAAGUGAAAUCUUGUCCUAGGAAGAAAGGGAAGGAUUGGCAGAAGAUUUUCCUCUGGUGUGGAUGACUGAUUUAAAGAUACUGGCAACAUGGAAUCUGGUUUGAAAAAUACUCAUAGGACGUUGGUUUUCUCAGGGCUGGAGAGUUGGCUCAGUGGUUGAUAGCACUGGCAGAACCCACAUGGUGGUACACAACUGUCUGUAAUUCCAGUUUCUGAGAACCCAGUGCCAUGCAUGUUCUGACCUCUGGAGGCACCGAAUGACACACGUGCAUGCAGGAAAGUAAGCAUUCAUAUGCAUAAAAUACUAGCCAAAGCCUGAAAAUACUUUCCUGGCUGCCAUAAACGUUUUCUCAUUUGAAGUUCUUCUCCCCAGACACCUUCUACUGUACUGCUGCCUGCUAACCUCCACUGCAAAGGGCUUGGCUUUCCCUUUCCUCCUCCAGCUCCCUAGUUUGGGCAGCUGUGGAGAUUUAAAUUUCUUAGUGUGCUAAAACUGAAAGCUCACUUGAGAGAGAGAGCAUGACAGUUGUGCUGCUGUUGGACAAGGCCACCUGGGGAACUAUCUACUCAGGUUCAGCCACCCAGGCAUUCAGAAACUUGUGAAUUCAUGGUCCUAGGAGCUCACAGUAGACCCUGAUGGUAUUUAUUAGGUGUUCUACAUUAAGGUCAGUUUCUAGGUUCAUAGCAAUGCUAUGAAUAUAAAAAAGGGAACUCCAACUUCCCUGGGAACCUAUGGCAACUACAAAGGGAUACUAAAGACACUCCUCUGAGGAUACACAGAGGGACCAUAUCCAGGGCCCUAGCCCUUUCAGCAAGAGAAGAUCAAAAAGAGAUCCAAAUAGCACAGUUCGAUGUUCCUGGUGACAGGGCGUGGUUUGGUAUAUGGAAUCCCUUCUUUUGAAUUGGGGAGGGAAAUUCCUUGUUGCUUUCUGUCUCCUUGUCUUUCUCUUGUGUGCCCUCAUACCUUAGGCCCUUUGACCUGGCCACACACGUGUCAUCUCCUGCUAUGUGUAUGCUAACCUAAAGCAGCUGCCCAGUGUUUUGGUUUUUGGUUUUUGUUCUGUUUCAUUUUGUUUACGUAGGGAUGACUGUAUUCAUUUAAUCUUUGAGGUGCAUGGAUCGCAUGAAGACUUAAUGUCCUAAUGGUGCCCUGAACCUGAUUGAGUUGCCACCUCCCGAGAGAGAAAAAUAUGUAACUAGCCAAAACAGCAAGGAAGACAUGACUAGCCAAAAUGGCAACCCUGCUACCACUAACUGGGAUGCUGAUUGAUGACAUCGCUAGCUAAGAGAAAAGGAAUCAUGUGACUAGCCCAAGUGACAAUGCCCACUCUGGUGACUUGAAUGAGAAAUGACCCCCAUAGGUUCAUGUGUUUGAUGGUACUGAUUGAGAAGAUUAUGGGACUUCUAGGAGAUGGAACCUUUCUUGAGAAAGCAUGUCAACAGGGGUGGGGCUUCAGGUUUUAGAGCCUGGCACCACUUUUUUUUCUGUCCGCAUUCUGUAUAACGAUGCAAUGUGAUCUCUCUGCUUUCUGGCUAUCAGGAUGUUCCCAUUUUGAUAUCAGUUGGCCUCACUACAAGCUAGUUGAGGAGAAAUUUUGGUUAAAACAGAAAAUCUUAAGCUCUACUACCAUCCUACACUUGGACUUAUUUUGAAGAAAUCAAGUCAUGUACAGUCCUUCAAGGCUCUCUGCCAGGAUGGAUGACUAUAUUUAAAUAUAUAUAUAUAUGAAGGAAUCUAAACCCUACAAGUCACACUGAUGUCUAUAGCACUUUCCCUAGGAAAAACACUUGAACCCUCAGAAGUAAUUGUUCAUGUUCCUUUUCAACCAUUAAUCCUAACAGAUGCAAUAAAACCAAACAGCUGGAAAUCUCCAGACAGCACUGAACAACUGGGGCCACUGGGCACAUCUCAGCGUGUCUUUAAUCUUGAGCCUCUUUAAUCUUAUCUGGGCUUUCAGAAACUUCCUGCUCCUCCGUCCCUGUCCCUCUUUCAUAGAAGGUUCUUCCUUCUUUGCUGCUUUCCCAAAAGGGUAAAACUUCUCAGCUCAGGGCUACUGCUCUUUUUUUUUUCUUUCCUACCUUCUCUUUUUCCUUUUUACUGCAAAAGAAAAUUCCUAAACAUUACUAACUCAAAUAACUGUGCUAGCCCAAGAACGUUCAAUAACACAGGAACCUUAGACCCUACAGACUUGGCUUUUUUUUUUCAUGAGGUCCCAUUUAUUAAUUGUUUUUAUUACAGUUUAUUUACUUUGUAUCCCAGCUGUAGCCCCCUCCUCCAUUCCCUCCCAAUCUCACCCUCCCUCCCUCGUCUCCUCCCAUGCCCCUUUCCCCUUUUGAUAGGGGAAGUUCUCCUCCCCUUCAAUCUGACCCUAGCCUAUCAGGUCUCAUCAGGACUGGCUGCAAUGUCCUCCUCUGUGGCCUAGCAAGGCUGCUCCUCCCUGGGGGGAGGGUGUCAAAGAACCCGCCACUGAGUUCAUGUCAGAAACAGUUUCUGUUCUCUUUACUAGGGAAACCCACUUGGAUACUGAGCUGCCAUGGGCUACGUCUGAGCAGGGUUUCUAGGUUAUAUCUAUGUAUGGUCCUUGGUUGGAGAGUCAGUCUCAGAAAGGACCCCUGUGCCCAGGUAUACUUGGUCCUUGUGGGGCUCCUGUCCUCUCCAGGACUUACUAACUCCCCCUUCUUUCAUAUGAUUCCCUGAACUCUGCCCAAGGUUUGGUUAUGUUUAUAGCAGCUUUAUUUGUAAUAGCCAGAACCUGGAAACAACCCAGAUGUCCCUCAACGGAGGAAUGGAUACAGAAACUGUGGUGCAUUUACACAAUGGAAUACUACUCAUCAAUUAAAAACAAGGAAAUCAUGAAAUUUGCAGGCAAAUGGUGGGAUCUAGAAAAGAUCAUCCUGAGUGAGGUAUCCCAGAAGUAGAAAAAUACACACGGUAUAUACCCACUUAUAAGUGGAUACUAGACCUAUAAGAUAGGAUAAACAUACUAAAAUUUAUACACCUAAAGAAGCUAAAUGAGAAGGAGGUCCUGGGGUAAGAUGAUCUACCCUCACUUAGAAAGACAAAUGGAAUGGACAUUGGAAGUAGAAGAAAACAAACAAACAAACAAACAAACAAACAAAAAAAACAGGACAGGAGCAUACCAUAGAGGGCCCCUGAAAGACUCUAUCUAGCAGUGUAUCAAAGCGGGACUUGACUUUUGAACACCGUUUUCUCCAUGAUAAACAACUGAGACCCAAAGAAUCCAUUCCUGACAAAACCACCUCAUGGUUCUGAAGCUACUCAAGACAAACUGACAAUGAAAUUUCAGCUUCACAGAUUCCCCAAGAGCUAAUAUUCUUUUUUUCCUGAGAUAAUUGGAGAUGGAUCCUUUUACCUCAUUAGUGUAAUUGUGUGUAGACCAGAACUUAUAGAACAUAUGUAUGUAUAAGUGUAUAUAUGUAUGUAUGUUUGCUUGUUUGUUUAUAUGUAUGUAUGUAUGCAUGCGUACGUGUGUGUAUGUAUAAAGGAGCUUUAUUAGAGUGGCUUACAGGCUGUGGUCUUGCUAGUUGAAUAGUGGAUGUCUACCAACAGGAAGUCCAGAAAUCUAGUAGUUGUUCAGCCCAUAAGGCUGGGUCUCACAGCUGGGCUUCAGUAUACUCCAGAAUCCGAAGAAGUAGACUCUAAAGAAUGGAUUUGCUAGCAAGAAUGAAGGCCAGCAGACAGAGAGCAAGCUUCCUGGGUCCAUACAGGCUGCCAGGAGAAGGUGUGAUCCAGAUUAAGGUGGAUCUGCCCACCUCGAAUGAUCUGGCUUUAGAGUCUGCAUUCCCACUUCAAAUGAUUUAAUUUAGAAAAAAAAAUUCUCAUAGGUGUACUCCAAUGCCUGGGUUUUAGUACAUUCCAGAAGGUGACAACCAAAAAUAGGCAUCACAGUAUGUAGUUUCAUGUAGUUGUUUGUAUGUCAUUCUGUGUUGGGAUAGCAAGGAAUGGAAUUAGCUGCCCAUAGAAUUUCUCAGAAUAACUGAGAAACACACUUGACUUAGACUUUUUUCUUUCAUUUGUUUAUUCCAGGCUUUGACAUUAUUUCAUUUUUUUAACGUUUAGACAUGUGUACUUUGAAAGUAUGUGUGUGACUGUGUGAAUAAGAUCACUUUGGUAAUACAUUUUGAAAGCCUUAUAAGUAUGUACUUAGAAACGGAAACACCCAUUUACCUUUUUAAGACCCAGGAAAAUGGCAUUUGUAGAUCUAUUAAAUGUUUCAUAAAAAUCUUAAAA